GUUUUAACUCUUGGUGUUUGUGUUUAUCUCCGUACCUUUUCCGUGUUUUUGUUGAUAAAAAUGCCCACCCAUUGGAAAACUUGUUGUGUUUGUGGUCAAAGCUGUAAGGAAAGGAAUGUGCCUAUACACAGUUUACCAAAAGAUGAAUUUGUAUGGAAACAAUGGAUAACAUUCCUUGUUGAAAAUAGGGCUGUCAGGGAAACUGAUAACUUUGCCCAAGCAUCCAUAUGUGGGGUCACCUCACUGCUUUAAGCUACCGGAGCUGUUUUUAGCAAUAAGAAGACACAGAUAGAUGACAUCUACACGCGAGGACGCGUAGAAUGACAGGAUGGCCGAAUGUUACCAGUUAUAUUUAUUAUAUAAAAUAUGUAGAAUAUUGUAAUAUAAACUAUUACUAUUAUUCUUCAAUUAAUAUUGUUUAUUUCAAUGGCUUUUAUAAUGUGAUUUAUUAUUUAUUAUAGCAUUACUGUUGGACGUACCUACGUAGUUCCCAGGGUGACUCAUAAAUAUUCAUACACACGAACUAAUCAUCCUCGCACCACGUGUUUAUUAUUAAGGUGGCGUGACUAAGCGCCGACAAAGCAAAAAUGCCGACGAGGGCCACAAGGGUGACAGGGGGUUUGCUUUUCGAUAUCAUAAUCUUUACGAUUGGUGGUACGUUCGACACGCCCGCGAUAUAUCGAAGUGAAAAUAGACAGUUUGAGUGAAUUUGACUAUUAUUUGGUAUCCCAUUAACAAUAUAGAACAUCUUCCUUUUAGGAUGUUUCACGUGAGAUUUUUAAAACAUUCCAAGCAUUUCUGGAGAAGUAAUUUUUAGUUAUCUACAUGCAAAGCCCGGUAGAGAAAAUGCAAUUUCUACAUGUAUUUUUAGCAGAUUACAAUUGCUGUUCAAUAUUUUUAACUGGGAAUUUUUGGCGGUAGCCACCAUGCAAUUUUUGCGAGCAAAAUGUUUUUAAAUUUUGCGACAAUAAACGACAAUUUUGU